CGAGUGAGCGGCAAAGCUCAAUUUGAAUCUGGCUCUUUCAGAGUCCGAGUUGUAAUUUGAAGAAGGUAUCUUUGGGUCUGGCUCUUGUCUAUGUUUCUUGGAACAGAACGUCACAGAGGGUGAGAAUCCCGUGCGAUGAGAUGAUCCAGGCCUAUGUAAAGUUCCUUCGAAGAGUCGAGUUGUU
rnacentral:rRNA from 1 species